rnacentral:lncRNA from 1 species
AAAAUUUGACUUGACUUGUAUUAAAAUGACAAAUCUACUAUUAUUCAAACAUGAAUUUUAAAAACACAAUUAAAAUCUACUAUUAUUGAAUUAGACAUUUCAUAAAGUACUCUGAAAUCCGCUAUUAUUGAAAAUAUUUUAAGUUGUGGAAUUUAACUGUUUCAAGUGACUUUAGAGUUUUGGAAGGAGAAACUUAGUUAAAAAAAAAAAGAAAAAUCAAAUUCCACGGUUUUAGAUAAUAUUCUAGAGUGGUUUAAAAAAAUCACUUAAACUCGUAUCAUACUGCAAUGAACAUAUGACUUAAUUAUAAUAAAUUACUAGAGCUUGACCUGCGCAUCCACGCGGGUAUUGGUUAUUACGUUUUUAUAAUUGAUAUUUUU